rnacentral:misc_RNA from 1 species
GAAAUGCGAUAAGUAAUGUGAAUUGCAGAAUUCAGUGAAUCAUCGAAUCUUUGAACGCACCUUGCGCUCCUUGGUAUUCCUUGGAGCAUGCCUGUUUGAGUAUCAUGAAAUCUUCAAAGUAAAUCUUUUGUUAACUCAAUUGGUUUCUACUUUGGUAUUGGAGGUCUUUGCAGCUUCACACCUGCUCCUCUUUGUUCAUUAGCUGGAUCUCAGUGUUAUGCUUGGUUCCACUCGGCGUGAUAAGUUAUCUAUCGCUGAGGACACUGUAAAAGGUGGCCAAGGUAAAUGCAGAUGAACCGCUUCUAAUAGUCCAUUGACUUGGACAAUACUUUUAUGAUCUGAUCUCAAAUCAGGUGGGACUACCCGCUGAACUUAAGC